rnacentral:rRNA from 1 species
UACGAAGGGGGGCUAGCGUUGCUCGGAAUCACUGGGCGUAAAGCGCACGUAGGCGGCUUUCUAAGUCAGGGGUGGAAUCCUGGAGCUCAACUCCAGAACUGCCUUUGAUACUGGAGAGCUUGAGUCCGGAAGAGGUGAGUGGAACUCCGAGUGUAGAGGUGAAAUUCGUAGAUAUUAGGAAGAACACCAGUGGCGAAGGCGGCUCACUGGUCCGGUACUGACGCUGAGGUGCGAAAGCG